AUGGAAAGAAAACCUUCUGAUUUCAUCGACUCUCUCGUUCUCAAAGGCCCGAGCCGUCCCAUGUCUGCUGAUGAUGGGUGGUUGAUCAUUGAAACUGAUGUUCCGGUUGAAUCAUCUUUCGAGCCUCAAGUCGACCCCGAUACACCUGGGAUAGUAUUCGAGACCACGUUAUUAUUGGAUUAUGAUUACCUUGACAAACCCAGGUGCAGUUUGAUUUCUAUCAGAGGUGGCUUUGUGAACAUCACAUCUGUGACUUUCAGCAAUGCGGUUCGCUCUACAAUCCGAUUUCGACUUUGUUCUCACCAAGAUGGCAGCUUUUAUGUGCGCCCUAAAGUGGAGGGCGAGCUUGUAUUAUCUGUUGAAAACAAUCCAGCCGGCUUCACUAUUUUCAAAAAUCAAGUUGAGGAUGAUGAUGUUCAUUUCGUGAGACUACAGAGUGGCACACCAGUAUUCGAACUUCCCUUGACUCGGCAUGUUCUUGCACUGCCUCUAGGAUCUCGUGUACGUGUCCUGGGGACUUUGAAACUAGCGACUUUGAAAGUGUUUGUAGAUCAGUAUAUGGUGCUCGACAAGAAUGAUGUAUGGGCUAGAUGGACUGUGGAAACUGGCCUGGAUGCUGCUGUAUGCACCGAGUAA
rnacentral:rRNA from 1 species